ACUGCCCUACGGGGCGCAGCAGUAGGGAAUCUUCCACAAUGGGCGCAAGCCUGAUGGAGCAACACCGCGUGAGUGAAGAAGGGUUUCGGCUCGUAAAGCUCUGUUGUUGGAGAAGAACGUGCGUGAGAGUAACUGUUCACGCAGUGACGGUAUCCAACCAGAAAGUCACGGCUAACUACGUGCCAGCAGCCGCGGUAAUACGUAAGGGGCAAGCGUUAUCCGGGUUUAUUGGGCGUAAAG
rnacentral:rRNA from 1 species